GGAGUUAGCCGGUGCUUCUUCUGUGAGUGAUGUCCUUCCUGCCGGCUAUUAACCCGCAGGCCUUCUUCCUCACUGAAAGUGCUUUACAACCCGAAGGCCUUCUUCACACACGCGGCAUGGCUGGAUCAGGGUUGCCCCCAUUGUCCAAUAUUCCCCACUGCUGCCUCCCGUAGGAGUCUGGGCCGUGUCUCAGUCCCAGUGUGGCUGAUCAUCCUCUCAGACCAGCUACGGAUCGUCGCCUUGGUGAGCCGUUACCUCACCAACCAGCUAAUCCGACAUAGGCUCAUCCGAUAGCGCGAGGCCCGAAGGUCCCCCGCUUUCCCCCGUAGGGCGUAUGCGGUAUUAGCCCUGGGUUUCCCCAGGUUAUCCCCCACUACCGGGCAGAUUCCUAUGCAUUACUCACCCGUCCGCCGCUCGCCACCAGGGAGCAAGCUCCCCGUGCUGCCGCUCGACUUGCAUGUGUUAGGCCUGCCGCCAGCGUUCAAUCUGAGCCAGGAUCAAACUCUGA
rnacentral:rRNA from 1 species